rnacentral:misc_RNA from 1 species
UCUCGCAAUUCAGCUGGACAUUCCCUGUUAUACAAAAAGGAUAGUUUGGAAAACUGUGGUGUGCAGAGUUGAACGCAUCAAGUAUGUCUCCCAUCUAAAACACAUUGUUCUUGCCAAGUCCACCAAAAUUGCACGAGAAGCAUUACAAAACAGUAAUUAAGCAUCUUAUGCCAGGAAUAACGCAACUAUCUGGCACUGUAUUAACUUCUGGAGGGCCAUAAUAACACAUGGCAUUGGUGGAAAAAAAAAACUAAUUACGGGGAAAUUUUACUUGAAUAAACCUUAUUCCUAACUUGCUCAUAUAACAAAUUAUGACACAUAAAAUAAUGCACCAAAAUCUAACAACAAAGGCACCACAAACCACAUACCCUGAUGUCAAAACAAAUGUAGGCCGAAUAUAUGGCAGAUGCACCAUUCUGAAUCAUUUGCACUUGGAAUGUUAAGGUAAUAUAUGAAAGAACAUUUCUGCUUGCAAUGCACUGGAUGCUAUUGCUAGCAUCCACCUCAUCUCAACAAUAAUGAAACACAGUGCAUGAGGCUAAGAACUUAAAAAUAUACCAAAAACAAGAAUUUUGAUGCAGGACAGCCACCAAAAUCAAGGAUUAGGAUUACUAUUUAAAGUUUUUUGAACGUAUAAUUCAUAUUGGUACCAUGAAUAAUAUUUUGGAAUAUAAAGUUCUCUGGAAGCUAACUGAUAGUGAAAUCAAUAAGGAUAUUCAAUAGAAAAUUGUAGAAACUAAUAAUGAUUUUCAAACCCAAAUGGAAUGCUGGUUUUUGAAAAUUUGAAGAAAAGAAAGAAAUUUUUAUAUUUCACCUUUCAGAACUCUUUCGAAAUAUACCACAGGAUCCUGCUAGUAUUACAUCUAGGAUUGCAAUUGCACCACACAAUCUCCAAAGAGAGCCCAAUGACAACAAAAAAGUUCCAAAAUUAUUCCUACUUAAUUGAAAAAGAUUAUAUCAAUAUAAAUAAAUAGGUUUUGAGUUUGUUAGUCUAUAACAAGA